rnacentral:rRNA from 1 species
GUGGGGAAUUUUGGACAAUGGGGGAAACCCUGAUCCAGCCAUGCCGCGUGCGGGAAGAAGGCCUUCGGGUUGUAAACCGCUUUUGGCCGGAAAGAAAAGGCGCACCCUAAUACGGGGCGUUCUUGACGGUACCGGCAGAAUAAGCACCGGCUAACUACGUGCCAGCAGCCGCGGUAAUACGUAGGGUGCGAGCGUUAAUCGGAAUUACUGGGCGUAAAGCGUGCGCAGGCGGUUCUCCAAGUCCGUUGUGAAAGCCCCGGGCUCAACCUGGGAAUGGCAGUGGAAACUAGGGGACUUGAAUCUGGCAGAGGGGGGUGGAAUUCCACGUGUAGCAGUGAAAUGCGUAGAGAUGUGGAGGAACACCGAUGGCGAAGGCAGCCCCCUGGGCUGAGAUUGACGCUCAGGCACGAAAGCGUGGGGAGCAAACAGGAUUAGAUACCCUUGUAGUCC